GUUCUGGGAGAAAGUGAGUGUGGCGGAGGAGAGGAAAGAAGCUAUGGUGGUGCUGUGGUGUUCUCAGUUGAAGAUUCUGUCUCACUCGUCUGUAGGGUGCUUUGUGUCACACUCCAACAAAAAUUCAUCAUUAUUUACAAAAGGGAGCUAAAAACAAAGAGUUUUUCCAUUCGAAAAAAGGUCUGUUUUCUGCCAUCUAUUUCUCUCAUUAAUCAGCUUACCAUGACAAGCAGAUUCCUAAUACUACAUGGAUCUACUUUGAGCUAUUAGCUCCCCCAUUUUGCAUGGUCAAAAUAAAUGUAAGCUCAUGAUAUAUGAUUUAAUUGUGGACUUGUUCUGCGUAUGAACUGAAUGUUUCUUUUGCAUGUGCUCCUUGGACUCGGAUUGCGUAGUGUGGCACACAGCACCAAUGUCAGUACUGUGCACUAUUGGAAAAGCUGUGGGGCCCAUCAUGAUGCAUGUGUUUUAUCCACAACAAGCAGAUUCCUACUACCACAUGGAUCUACUUUGAGUGAUUAGCUCUCUCAUUUUGUGCAAUCAAAAUAAAUGUUAAGCUGCGAUUUCGUGUGUGCCACUAAUUAGAUUGGCAAGAGUUCUACAAACGGCUCUACCCACCAGACAUUACUCUCCAUCACUAAUAGAUUCAUGUGUGCCACUAAUUAGAUGAUAGGGCAUUUGAGUACAAGAAAAACAGAAGCAAGAAGGACACUGAAGUGGCAUAUGCAGAAGGACAGAGAAGUUUACAUUUUCUUCAUUCUUCUUUUCACUUCUCUGAUAUUCCAUUGUAUUAAAGAAGUCUUGUACUAAGAAAGAUUUGAUUCACAACUUAGAAAAUCACAAAGCAACAAUAUUUUUGUGAAUACAAAUUCCUCA